UACGUAGGGUGCAAGCGUUGUCCGGAAUUAUUGGGCGUAAAGAGCUCGUAGGCGGUCUGUCGCGUCGAAUGUGAAAACCCGGGGCUCAACUCCGGGCUUGCAUUCGAUACGGGCAGGCUAGAGUUCGGUAGGGGAGACUGGAAUUCCUGGUGUAGCGGUGAAAUGCGCAGAUAUCAGGAGGAACACCGGUGGCGAAGGCGGGUCUCUGGGCCGAUACUGACGCUGAGGAGCGAAAGCGUGGGGAGCGAACAGG
rnacentral:rRNA from 1 species